UAGCUUUCUAUAGCUUUAACUUUUAAUUAAUUCCUCACUUCUACCUUUCUUCUAUCUUCAUUUCUUGUUCUUACAUUUAGGGUUUCUUCCACAUAUUGAUAUUGCAUCACGUGUGGACAUCCUGUAUGACUUGUUUUCCUUUUCUCCUUUUGCCUUUGGAUUAAUUUGUAGUCUUCUCCUGUUGUUUUGACAAAUAAUUCAAUCUACAAUUUUUUGGUAGAAAAGAUAAUUGUAUUUAUAUACUAAUAACAUUAUUAGUAAUUCACUACUCAAUGUCUCUAGGGUAUAUAUAACUUCAUUUACAACCAUUUGGAUAAAAAAUGUAGUCAUAAAAGGUUUUUAAAGUUUUCUAGCUUUAGGAGAUUAAAGUGGGCUAAGAAUAUUUUACCUAAUCAAUCUUUCAAUCUGCUCACGUCCAAAUCCAAUCUGCCCGUUUUCCA
rnacentral:lncRNA from 1 species